rnacentral:rRNA from 1 species
CAGGCCUAACACAUGCAAGUCGAACGCUGUGGCAACACAGAGUGGCAGACGGGUGAGUAACACGUGGGAACGUACCCUUUGGUCUGGAAUAACCCCAGGGAAACUUGGGCUAAUACCGGAUACGCCCUUUUGGGGAAAGGUUUACUGCCGAAGGAUCGGCCCGCGUCCGAUUAGCUAGUUGGUGUUGGUAAUGGCUCACCAAGGCGACGAUCGGUAGCUGGUCUGAGAGGAUGGCCAGCCACAUUGGGACUGAGACACGGCCCAAACUCCUACGGGAGGCAGCAGUGGGGAAUAUUGGACAAUGGGCGCAAGCCUGAUCCAGCCAUGCCGCGUGAGUGAUGACGGCCUUAGGGUUGUAAAGCUCUUUCGCACGCGACGAUAAUGACGGUAGCGUGAGAAGAAGCCCCGGCUAACUUCGUGCCAGCAGCCGCGGUAAU